rnacentral:lncRNA from 1 species
CAAUAUCAGCACCAGUACCCUUACCGGCAGCCUCAACCUCGCCCUCGACGGCAGCCUCGUCCUCACCGGUAGCCUCACCCUCAUCCUCACCAAAUCCACCCUCACCAGAAGCACCCAUACCAGAACCACGACUUCCACCACGAACUCCACCCUGAUUUGUAAUCUUCAAAUUAUAUUUACCGUCUUCAAUGGUUUCUAAUUUUGAAAUAAAAAUAAAAUUUAGAUAUGAAGAGAGACAUAGACUUGGUUUUGCAUAUAAAACUGAAACCCGCAAAUUAAUUGGUAUCUUACGUCUGCAACCAUUACACAGCCCUCUAUAACAACAUCACCCCUUCAAAUAUUAAACAUGUUUCCCAGUGGAUGCUGAGACUGAUAGAGAGAAUUCAGGAGAAUUACAUCACUUCCAGAUAUCACACUUCCACUGUGCCUUGCAAGUACGAAGAGAGACUUAGACUUAGUUUGCAUAUAAAACUCAAACCCGCAAAUUCAUUGUUAUCUUACGUCAGCAACCAUUACACAGCCCUUUAUAACAACAUCACCACGUCAAAUACUGCUUCCAACCCUUGAACAUCUUCAUUCUCACCGUUGGCCGGAAAUGAGAGAGUAAACACUGCAACCACACUCUUCUCGAAACUGCAUCAAAACAACUAUAAAAUAAGAGUUGAAAUUCAAUAUAAAUAAAUAAAAUUUAAUACGUACCUAAUUUCUUCUUCAACUUGGAUAAAGCCAAGACAUAAUUGAUGCCACACAACACCUUUUUUACGCAGUUCGGUUCAACUUUACGUAGCUCAUGUAACAGAUAGGUUAAAGUUAUAUUGUAACCCUGCACAAAACAAAAAACAAGUUAAUAUUGUAUUCGUAUAUCCAACUCACAUGAAAAUCCUAUAUCAUUUACCGUACCGGUAAGUCAGUUGGGGUGACAGUAAACUUCAGUGACGUGUGCUGAAUAUCCUUAAACAAUGUAUCAUUGAGCAAAUGAGNNNNNNNNNNNNNNNNNNNNNNNNNUAUCUUACGUCAGCAACCAUUACACAGCCCUUUAUAACAACAUCACCACGUCAAAUACUGCUUCCAACCCUUGAACAUCUUCAUUCUCACCGUUGGCCGGAAAUGAGAGAGUAAACACUGCAACCACACUCUUCUCGAAACUGCAUCAAAACAACUAUAAAAUAAGAGUUGAAAUUCAAUAUAAAUAAAUAACAUUUAAUACGUACCAAGACAUAAUUGAUGCCACGCAACACCUUUUUUACGCAGUUCGGUUCAACUAUACGUAGCUCAUGUAACAGAUAGGUUAAAGUUAUAUUGUAACCCUGCACAAAACAAAAAACAAGUUAAUAUUGUAUUCGUAUAUCCAACUUACAUGAAAAUCCUAUAUCAUUUACCGUACCGGUAAGUCAGUUGGGGUGACAGUAAACUUCAGUGACGUGUGCUGAAUAUCCUUAAACAAUGUAUCAUUGAGCAAAUGAGACACAUAUUCAAUUACAACGUUCCACUCAGUAAAGUUCAAUGGAAGAUGCACAAGCUGAUUCAACAAAGUAAGGAAAUGACUGAAAGCUAAGGUAGCCACACAACCCACGUUAUAUUCAAUUUCCUCCUCAAAGCCUUGGAGAACAAUAUUUACAAUCUGAGACAAACAACAAACGUCAAUAAUAAAAUAAUAAUUAUUACUAAUUAAACAAUAUAAUUAUAAACAAACAGUAUUAUUAUUCACCGGCAUCGCCUUUCUUCUCCGUAUUUCCGCAAAGAACUAUAAAAAGACCACGGGGACACUCUCAAGUUCCCCUCGAAGUUGUCGAUCCUCAUCCUCCUCCACUUGAAGAGGAUGAUGAAGAAUAUGAGUUUGGUGAGGGUGAGGGUGAGGGCGAGCCUACUGUUGAAGGCGAGGCUGCCGGUGAAGGCGAGGCUGCCGGUGAAGGCGAGGCUGCCAGAGAAGGCGAGGAUGCCGGUGAAGGCAAGGCUACCGGUGUGGGCGAGGCUACCGGUGAGGCUGAGGCGCCUGCUGUUGUGGUUGAGCCUGCCGGUGAGGGUGCUGGUGCUGAUAUUGCUGCUGGUGAGGAUGUGGGUGAAAGUGAUGGAAGGGGGUGCCAAGGGGUGGUCAGUGGGCAAGGGUUGAAAGGGUGCAGAGCAAUGCAUCGCCUUUCUUCUCCGUAUUUCCGCAGAGGAAGAACUAUAAGAAGACAACGGGGACACUCUCAAGUUCCCCUCGAAAGUUUCGAUCCUCAUCCUCCUCCACCUGAAGAAGAUGAUGAAGAAUAUGAGUUUGGUGAGGCUACCGGAGGCUACCGGUGAGGCUAAGGCGCCUGAGGCGCCUAUUGUGGUUGAGCCUGU